rnacentral:ncRNA from 1 species
UACUGUUUGAACAGAUCCUUUUCCAAAAGAUUUUAGACCAGCAAUAAUGGCUCGUCUGUGAUCUUGUAAAGCCCCUGCCACAAUUUCAGAAGCGCUGGCAGAACCUUCGUUGAUAAGGAUGACCAAUGGAGCUCCGUUCGUAAUGUCUUGUGUCUUAGCUGAAUAACGUACAGUGUCUUCGGGGUUUCUGGAACGUGUUGAAACGAUUUCCCCUUGGGCUAAGAACAGAUCUGUUACAGCAACAGCUUCAUCCAAUAACCCGCCUGGAUUGUUGCGUAA